AUGCAAGGUGUCUGGGAAGUUUGGAGGCUACAGAUGUUCUUUCCCCAUAUCUUACCUGAAAAGACAGUCAAGAAAAGCAGAAUGAAGAGCCCCAUGACUGGAAGGAAGUGAACCUUCACCUGGAAUGAGGGGAUCCUGACAUCGUCAAGAACCAGCCUCUCCGAUGGCUCCCGGCAUUCAUGCUGUUGUUCCCUCUUCAACCGAAUCAGGGCUGGCCUGUGUGAUCAAGAAAACCAAUGAAAAUUAGAUAGCAAUUGAUAAUUUGUGUGGUCAUAUUUUUUAAAAUCAGUAUUAUUUCUGAGAAAGCUGCGUGCAAAUCGUGCACUGGGAAUGGCUCGGAGAAAGUGCCGUGAAACCAAAGAAAAGCACCAACAGAAGGAGAAAUGGAUUGUGCCCAGACGUCAGUGAAGUGCGCAAGUCAUGAAAAGGUGACGUUCUAAAGCAAAUGAGAGGCCCGGAGUUAUAGAGAAUGGACGGAUGUGUCUUAUCAGUAUCCUGACUCCCAGGUGGUGCAGUUAGUUCUCCUGGUGCCUCAUAAGGGCAGAAUUAAUUUUUGCUCCUUAGAUGGGCAAACUAAGAAGAUGAAUGGGUAAGAAGCAGAAGCCCACUGAUCAUUUAAAAACUACCUUUUACAAAUAAAACCUGAAAUGUUUGCAGAGGAAAUUAAUUGAUGUCCCCAAAUUUCAAGAUAGUCAGGGUAGGGCAAGCAGGUGGGUAGGGGCAUAGAGGGAACAAGAUUGGCUGUAAGUGGACCAUUAUUAAAGCAGCAUAAUAGAUAUCGGAGGGGUCAUUUUUCUGGUCUCUCCACUUUUGUGUGCCUGAAGUGUUCCAUAAUAAAAAGUAAAACAAACAAACAAACAAA